GACGAACGCUGGCGGCGUGCCUAAUACAUGCAAGUCGAACGCAGUGGGGACGGGUGCGUAACACGUGGGUAACCUCCCAUCAGAGGGGAUAACACUUGGAAACAGGUGCUAAACCGAUACUGAUGGAUGGACCCGCGGUGCAUUAGCUCGUUGGUGAGGUAACUGCUCACCAAGGCCACGAUGCAUAGCCGGCAUGAGAGGGUGAGCGAGCACACUGGGACUAAGAAGCGGCACAGACUCCUACGAGAGGCAGCAGUAGGGAAUCUUCAGCAAUGGACGAAAGUCUGACCGAGCAAAGCCGCGUGAGUGAAGAAGGUAUUCGGAUAGUAAAACUCUGUUGUUAGAGAAGCGGUAUCUGACGAGAAAGCAACGGCUAACUACGUGCCAGCAGCCGCGGUAAUUC
rnacentral:rRNA from 1 species